GACGAACGCUGGCGGCGUGCCUAACACAUGCAAGUCGAACGGAACUGUUUUGAAAGAUUUCUUCGGAAUGAAUUUGAUUUAGUUUAGUGGCGGACGGGUGAGUAACGCGUGAGUAACCUGCCUUCAAGAGGGGGAUAACAUUCUGAAAAGAAUGCUAAUACCGCAUGACAUAUCGGAAUCACAUGGUUUUGAUAUCAAAGAUUUUAUCGCUUGAAGAUGGACUCGCGUCCGAUUAGUUAGUUGGUGAGGUAACGGCUCACCAAGACCGCGAUCGGUAGCCGGACUGAGAGGUUGAACGGCCACAUUGGGACUGAGACACGGCCCAGACUCCUACGGGAGGCAGCAGUGGGGGAUAUUGCGCAAUGGGGGCAACCCUGACGCAGCAACGCCGCGUGAAGGAUGAAGGUUUUCGGAUUGUAAACUUCUUUUAUUAAGGACGAAAAUUGACGGUACUUAAUGAAUAAGCUCCGGC
rnacentral:rRNA from 1 species